AUUGAACGCUGGCGGCAUGCCUUACACAUGCAAGUCGAACGGCAGCACGGGGCAACCUGGUGGCGAGUGGCGAACGGGUGAGUAAUGCAUCGGAACGUACCUUUCAGUGGGGGAUAACGUAGCGAAAGUUACGCUAAUACCGCAUAUUCUGUGAGCAGGAAAGCAGGGGAUCGCAAGACCUUGCGCUGAUUGAGCGGCCGAUGUCAGAUUAGCUAGUUGGUGAGGUAAAGGCUCACCAGGGCGUCGAUCUGUAGCGGGUCUGAGAGGAUGAUCCGCCACACUGGAACUGAGACACGGUCCAGACUCCUACGGGAGGCAGCAGUGGGGAAUUUUGGACAAUGGGGGCAACCCUGAUCCAGCCAUGCCGCGUGAGUGAAGAAGGCCUUCGGGUUGUAAAGCUCUUUCGGCCGGGAAGAAAUCGCACGGGCUAAUACCCUGUGUGGAUGACGGUACCGGAAUAAGAAGCACCGGCUAACUACGUGCCAGCCGCCGCGGUAACAC
rnacentral:rRNA from 1 species